UACGAAGGGGGCUAGCGUUGUUCGGAAUUACUGGGCGUAAAGGGCUCGUAGGCGGCCAACUAAGUCAGACGUGAAAUCCCUCGGCUUAACCGGGGAACUGCAUCUGAUACUGGAUGGCUUGAGUUCGGGAGAGGUGAGUGGAACUGCGAGUGUAGAGGUGAAAUUCGUAGAUAUUCGCAAGAACACCAGUGGCGAAGGCGGCUCACUGGCCCGAUACUGACGCUGAGGCACGAAAGCGUGGGGAGCAAACAGG
rnacentral:rRNA from 1 species